UCUACGGCCAUCCCACCCUGAACACACCCAAUCUUGUCUGAUCUCAGAAACUAAGCAGGGUCAGGCCUGGUUAGUACUUGGAAGGGAGAAACCAAAUUGACUUAAGAA
rnacentral:rRNA from 1 species